GGGGACAUAGCUCAAUUGGGAGAGCGCCAGCUUUGCAAGCUGGAGGUUACCGGUUCGAUCCCGGUUGUCUCCACCA
rnacentral:tRNA from 2 species